AUUGAACGCUGGCGGCAUGCUUUACACAUGCAAGUCGAACGGUAACAGGUUAAGCUGACGAGUGGCGAACGGGUGAGUAAUGCAUCGGAACGUGCCCGAUCGUGGGGGAUAACGCAGCGAAAGCUGCGCUAAUACCGCAUACGAUCUGAGGAUGAAAGCGGGGGACCGUAAGGCCUCGCGCGAUCGGAGCGGCCGAUGUCAGAUUAGGUAGUUGGUGGGGUAAAGGCUCACCAAGCCAACGAUCUGUAGCUGGUCUGAGAGGACGACCAGCCACACUGGGAAUGAGACACGGCCCAGACUACUACGGGAGGCAGCAGUGGGGAAUUUUGGACAAUGGGCGAAAGCCUGAUCCAGUAAUGCCGCGUGCAGGAAGAAGGCCUUCGGGUUGUAAACUGCUUUUGUACGGAGCGAAAAGGCCCUCUCUAAUACAGUGGGCUCAUGACGGUACCGUAAGAAUAAGCACCGGCUAACUACGUGCCAGCCGCCGCCGUAA
rnacentral:rRNA from 1 species